rnacentral:rRNA from 1 species
AGUGAACGCUGGCGGUAGGCCUAACACAUGCAAGUCGAACGGCAGCACAGUAAGAGCUUGCUCUUACGGGUGGCGAGUGGCGGACGGGUGAGGAAUACAUCGGAAUCUACUUUUUCGUGGGGGAUAACGUAGGGAAACUUACGCUAAUACCGCAUACGACCUACGGGUGAAAGCAGGGGCUCUUCGGACCUUGCGCGAUUGAAUGAGCCGAUGUCGGAUUAGCUAGUUGGCGGGGUAAAGGCCCACCAAGGCGACGAUCCGUAGCUGGUCUGAGAGGAUGAUCAGCCACACUGGAACGGGGACACGGUCCAGACUCCUACGGGAGGCAGCAGUGGGGAAUAGUGGACAAUGGGCGCAAACCUGAUCCAGCCAUACGGCGUGGGUGAAGAAGGCCUUCGGGUUGUAAAGCCCUUUUGUUGGGAAAGAAAAGCAGCAGGUUAAUACCCCGCUGUUCUGACGGUACCCAAAGAAUAAGCACCGGCUGACUUCGUG